UGGGGAAUAUUGCACAAUGGGCGAAAGCCUGAUGCAGCGACGCCGCGUGAGGGAUGACGGCCUUCGGGUUGUAAACCUCUUUCAGCAGGGAAGAAGCGAAAGUGACGGUACCUGCAGAAAAAGCACCGGCUAACUACGUGCCAGCAGCCGCGGUAAUACGUAGGGUGCGAGCGUUGUCCGGAAUUAUUGGGCGUAAAGAGCUCGUAGGCGGUCUGUCGCGUCUGCUGUGAAAACCCCGAGGCUCAACCUCGGGCCUGCAGUGGGUACGGGCAGACUAGAGUGCGGUAGGGGAGAAUGGAAUUCCUGGUGUAGCGGUGGAAUGCGCAGAUAUCAGGAGGAACACCGAUGGCGAAGGCAGUUCUCUGGGCCGUAACUGACGCUGAGGAGCGAAAGCGUGGGGAGCGAACAGGAUUAGAUACCCUGGUAGUCCACGCCGUAAACGUUGGGCGCUAGAUGUGGGACCAUUCCACGGUUUCCGUGUCGCAGCUAACGCAUUAAGCGCCCCGCCUGGGGAGUACGGCCGCAA
rnacentral:rRNA from 1 species